rnacentral:rRNA from 1 species
UACAGAGGUCCCAAGCGUUGUUCGGAUUCACUGGGCGUAAAGGGUGCGUAGGUGGUUUGGUAAGUUCGAUGUGAAAUCUCCGAGCUUAACUUGGAAACUGCAUUGAAAACUAUUGAACUGGAGGAUUGGAGGGGGGACUGGAAUACUUGGUGUAGCAGUGAAAUGCGUAGAUAUCAAGUGGAACACCAGUGGCGAAGGCGAGUCCCUGGACAAAUCCUGACACUGAGGCACGAAAGCCAGGGGAGCAAACAGG